AGUGAACGCUGGCGGUAGGCCUAACACAUGCAAGUCGAACGGCAGCACCGUAAGAGCUUGCUCUUACGGGUGUCGAGUGGCGGACGGGUGAGUAAUACAUCGGAAUCUACUUUUUCGUGGGGGCUAACGUAGGGUAACUUACGCUAAUACCGCAUACGACCUCCGUGUGAAAGCAGGGGAUCUUCGGACCUUUCGCUAUUGAAUGAGCCUAUGUCGGAUUAGCUAGUUGGCGGGGUAAAGGCCCACCAAGGCGACGAUCCGUAGCUGGUCUGAGAGGAUGUACAGACACACUGGAACUGAGAAACGGUCCAGACUCCUACGGGAGGAAACAGUGGGGAAUAUUAGACAAUGGGGGCAAGACUGAUCCAGAAAUACCGCGUGGGGGAAGAAGGAGUUCGGGUUGUAGAGCCAUUAUGUUGGGAAAGAAAAGCAGCAGGUUAAUACCGCGCUGUACUGACGGUACCGAAAGAAUAAGCUCCGGCUAACUUCGUG
rnacentral:rRNA from 1 species